GCUGAUGCGCCGCGCCAAGCCGGCCCGCCUCGCCGCGAGCGCUGAUGCGCCGCCGCCCCGUCGCGCCGUCCUUCGCCUCCCGCCACCGCCCGGACCCAUCUCCACCACGCACCUCAGGCCUCCCCCUCACCUGAGGGUGGGGGGCGUCUUGCCGCGCCGUCGCCGCUCGUCUCGGCCGAGCGAUGCCCGGUCGGGAUGAUGCGGUGGUGGUAGGCGGGACGGGUAUUGGUCGCCGCCGCUGCUGCUGCGGUCGGGGUGGUGACAGUGGGCGUGGUUGCCGCCGCUGUUGCGGUCGGGCGGCCGGCAGUCGCGUUGGCCGGCUGUGGAAGUGGAGGCGGCGUCGCCGUAGGGAGCCUGCUGGAGCUGCUGCCCGUCGUCAUGGAGAAGUACGGGGCGUCACGGCGUGCAGCGAUCGUUCCUCGGAGGAGGAGGUCUGGCGGUGGUGCCGGAGUUGGGGAAGUUGGCGGCGUCGCCGGCGUGGACUCCGACGAGGACCCAUCGUUGCCACAGGGGUAUAUGGACCGGCCAUGGCGAGGGCAGAAUGCCGUCACCAUGACUGGUCCCCCCUGUUGGAUCUCCGAGUUGCCGCGCUGAUGCGCGUUUGUGCUGGAGUUGUGGCUGUGAGCACCUCUCCCUGCAACAGCAUUGCCGCUGCGACGACCUCCUCUCCGGGUGUAGGAGCCCCUGCCACGGCGAGGGUAUUGCAGGGGAGUCCGGAGGAGGGCAUCCACCAUACGGCGGAGAAGACGAGCACGAAGGUGCCUCGGAAGUGAAGAAGCAGCGUCAAAGGAUGAAGAACGUGGUGCCAUCCUUACCAUAAGGUGAUUGGUGCUUUUGACCCGGUAAUAAGCACUAGUGUGUUCCACGGUCGCAGGUUUGGAGUUAUGCGUCGCCACACCAGUUCUGGCUCUUUCUGUUCAUUUGCUGGAUGGAAAGAGCAGUUGUGAUUCUGUCAAGGGCAAUGGUGUAGAACUGUACAUAAUAACAGAGCAUGGCUAUUGAUGUUAUUGAUAUUUGGCAUGAUAUACGAUCAAAUUGCUAACCAAGGUUUGAAGUUUGGGGGUCUAUAUAAUCAAUAUGUAGUAAAAAACCAUGCGUGCUUGUUACGACAAGUUCUGUGCAGUUGUCUUAGAACUAUAGUUGGUCACAUUUCAAAAACCAUAGUUGAAGGUAGCACUUCUGUGUGUGUAGUCUUAGAAAAGUUGAUGUUAAAUUGAUCUGAGAGCUACUUUGAUGAUUCAGAUGUAAACCUGUAUCUAUAAUUGAUCAGACGUGUAUGUGUAAUUGUUAUGUUUACAAAACCUGUGUAAUGCAUAUUUUUUUCUGCA